rnacentral:lncRNA from 1 species
GCAAGGAGACAUUAGAAUGUGGAAUGUAACAAAUCACAGUUAUGGAUCUUAUGAUAUUUAUUUAUAAGAAGAGGCACUAGAAGGCUCAUAUGAAGAUAUACAACUUUGCGAACAUAAAGAAUUACGCAUCAAGGAAUGAAGUGGCAAAAUAUUAACUAAAAGAUCUACGCAGAAGGCUUAAACGAUACAUAAUGAAAUCAGGGGAGUAUUACAAGUUACACUCUUAUAUACCUCCAAGAUUUUUGAAUAUACUCGAGACUUUAUUAAAGACAAUCAAGUCGAGAUGAGAUAUGUCCAAUCCAGCAACAAUUCAUCCGAUCUUUUCACAAAAGCACUACCUACAGCAACUUUCAGGAAACACGUUCAUGACAUUGGCAUGCGUCACGUAUGGAGAAUAUGAUGCCUUACAAAUUGCAACUUGAGGGGGAGCUAUAGACUGCACUCUUUUUCCCUUAGCUAAGGUUUUUUCCCACUGGGUUUUUCUUUAGCAAGGUUUUUAAUGAGGCAGUACUUAAUUACCCCAAAAUUUGCAAAGUGUCAUCCAAGGGGGAGUGUUAUGAAUAAUUCAUUCGGUGGAUGACAAUUAUAUGCACAGUAAAAGCGCACAGUAAAGGAAAUAAUUCAUUCGAAUUAUUAUUUAUAGGCCCCACCAGUUUUGUUUUUAUUUCCUUUUCUUUUCUAUAUAAACAGCAUUCGAUCUUGUGAUUCAAUAUACGAAACAAGAGAAAAUAUUCUGUAAUAAAGAAGAGGGGAUACUAAGAGAGAUAUAUUUCAUAUUGAGGAAGUUUUGAUC